UGAUAGGUGUCGUCUGUUGUAGAGGGCACAUGGCUGGGACAGAUUGUAGACUUGUCGAGGUGCUACCGUGAGCAUGCCCUGCUGAUGAGCUGGAGAUCGUGGCCUGAGCCAAUAAGUAGAAUUGCAGAUGUGCUGCAAUGAGCAUAAAUCUUCAUAUGGUUUAUAGUAAUCGCAAGAAUUCGCCGGUUGUUGAGCAUGUCGAUUAAGAUGGUCUUCUAGGUAUGAAAUCUUGCCUUGGCGGCUGUAGAGAUGAUGAUCUCUCUAUUGUGGAUGUCUUGACCUCCUUUCUUUAGGUUUAGAAACCUUAUAUUUAUAUUAGAAGUUGUGUCUUUCCCCAA
rnacentral:lncRNA from 1 species